rnacentral:rRNA from 1 species
AAAUUGAAGAGUUUGAUCAUGGCUCAGAUUGAACGCUGGCGGCAGGCCUAACACAUGCAAGUCGAACGGUAACAGGAAGCAGCUUGCUGCUUUGCUGACGAGUGGCGGACGGGUGAGUAAUGUCUGGGAAACUGCCUGAUGGAGGGGGAUAACUACUGGAAACGGUGGCUAAUACCGCAUAACGUCGCAAGACCAAAGAGGGGGACCUUCGGGCCUCUUGCCAUCAGAUGUGCCCAGAUGGGAUUAGCUUGUUGGUGAGGUAACGGCUCACCAAGGCGACGAUCCCUAGCUGGUCUGAGAGGAUGACCAGCCACACUGGAACUGAGACACGGUCCAGACUCCUACGGGAGGCAGCAGUGGGGAAUAUUGCACAAUGGGCGCAAGCCUGAUGCAGCCAUGCCGCGUGUAUGAAGAAGGCCUUCGGGUUGUAAAGUACUUUCAGCGGGGAGGAAGGUGUUGUGGUUAAUAACCGCAGCAAUUGACGUUACCCGCAGAAGAAGCACCGGCUAACUCCGUGCCAGCAGCCGCGGUAAUACGGAGGGUGCAAGCGUUAAUCGGAAUUACUGGGCGUAAAGCGCACGCAGGCGGUCUGUCAAGUCGGAUGUGAAAUCCCCGGGCUCAACCUGGGAACUGCAUUCGAAACUGGCAGGCUUGAGUCUUGUAGAGGGGGGUAGAAUUCCAGGUGUAGCGGUGAAAUGCGUAGAGAUCUGGAGGAAUACCGGUGGCGAAGGCGGCCCCCUGGACAAAGACUGACGCUCAGGUGCGAAAGCGUGGGGAGCAAACAGGAUUAGAUACCCUGGUAGUCCACGCCGUAAACGAUGUCUACUUGGAGGUUGUGCCCUUGAGGCGUGGCUUCCGGAGCUAACGCGUUAAGUAGACCGCCCGGGAGUACGGCCGCAAGGUUAAAACUCAAAUGAAUUGACGGGGGCCCGCACAAGCGGUGGAGCAUGUGGUUUAAUUCGAUGCAACGCGAAGAACCUUACCUGGUCUUGACAUCCACAGAAGAAUCCAGAGAUGGAUUUGUGCCUUCGGGAACUGUGAGACAGGUGCUGCAUGGCUGUCGUCAGCUCGUGUUGUGAAAUGUUGGGUUAAGUCCCGCAACGAGCGCAACCCUUAUCCUUUGUUGCCAGCGGUUAGGCCGGGAACUCAAAGGAGACUGCCAGUGAUAAACUGGAGGAAGGUGGGGAUGACGUCAAGUCAUCAUGGCCCUUACGACCAGGGCUACACACGUGCUACAAUGGCGCAUACAAAGAGAAGCGACCUCGCGAGAGCAAGCGGACCUCAUAAAGUGCGUCGUAGUCCGGAUUGGAGUCUGCAACUCGACUCCAUGAAGUCGGAAUCGCUAGUAAUCGUGGAUCAGAAUGCCACGGUGAAUACGUUCCCGGGCCUUGUACACACCGCCCGUCACACCAUGGGAGUGGGUUGCAAAAGAAGUAGGUAGCUUAACCUUCGGGAGGGCGCUUACCACUUUGUGAUUCAUGACUGGGGUGAAGUCGUAACAAGGUAACCGUAGGGGAACCUGCGGUUGGAUCACCUCCUUACCUUAAAGAA